rnacentral:rRNA from 1 species
UCAACCUGAACUCAGUCGUGGCUACCCGCUGAACUUAAGCAUAUCAUUUAGCGGAGGAAAAGAAACUAAAAAGGAUUCCCCUAGUAACGGCGAGUGAAAAGGGAAAAGCCCAGCGCUGAAUCGCUCACCCUUUGGAUGCUGUGAAAUGUAGCGUAUAGGUGCGGCUUUCUAGCUGCGUUGCGUGUCCGAAGUCCUUGCGAUUGAGGCCAUUUGCCAGAGAGGGUGCGAGUCCC